GUAUAGUGAUACCUUUCCCCUCAGAGUCACCUCUCUGUUGGUUUCGAUAAACGUCGAGUUUUUCCUAGUCGUCCAUUGGAGUCUAAUGGUAAUUUCCUUCUCCCUCUCCGUUGGUGUCGAUAAACGUCGAGCUUCUCCUUCUCCGUUGGUGUCGAUAAACGUCGAGUUUCUCCUUCUCCGUUGGUGUCAAUAAACGUCGAGCUUCUCCCGUUCGUCCGUUGACGUCUGGUCGAGUCUUUCCAAUCAUUCAUUAAUGUCUG
rnacentral:lncRNA from 1 species